AGACCCGAAACCCGGUGAUCUAGCCAUGGGCAGGUUGAAGGUUGGGUAACACUAACUGGAGGACCGAACCGACUAAUGUUGAAAAAUUAGCGGAUGACCUGUGGCUGGGGGUGAAAGGCCAAUCAAACCGGGAGAUAGCUGGUUCUCCCCGAAAGCUAUUUAGGUAGCGCCUCGUGAAUUCAUCUCCGGGGGUAGAGCACUGUUUCGGCUAGGGGGCCAUCCCGGCUUACCAACCCGAUGCAAACUGCGAAUACCGGAGAAUGUUAUCACGGGAGACACACGGCGGGUGCUAACGUCCGUCGUGAAGAGGGAAACAACCCAGACCGCCAGCUAAGGUCCCAAAGUCAUGGUUAAGUGGGAAACGAUGUGGGAAGGCCCAGACAGCCAGGAUGUUGGCUUAGAAGCAGCCAUCAUUUAAAGAAAGCGUAAUAGCUCACUGGUCGAGUCGGCCUGCGCGGAAGAUGUAACGGGGCUAAACCAUGCACCGAAGCUGCGGCAGCGAACGUAUCACCCAAGACAACUUUACGGAGUUGACGAUUGACGGAGCGAAGCGACGUCAAAGCGUUCAUUAAAGUCGAGUUGGCUUAGGGAUACGUUCGUUGGGUAGGGGAGCGUUCUGUAAGCCUGUGAAGGUGUGUCGUGAGGCAUGCUGGAGGUAUCAGAAGUGCGAAUGCUGACAUAAGUAACGAUAAAGCGGGUGAAAAGCCCGCUCGCCGGAAGACCAAGGGUUCCUGUCCAACGUUAAUCGGGGCAGGGUGAGUCGACCCCUAAGGCGAGGCCGAAAGGCGUAGUCGAUGGGAAACGGGUUAAUAUUCCCGUACUUGGUGUUACUGCGAAGGGGGGACGGAGAAGGCUAUGUUGGCCGGGCGACGGUUGUCCCGGUUUAAGCGUGUAGGUGUGUGUUCCAGGUAAAUCCGGUUCACUUUAACACUGAGGCGUGACGACGAGGCACUACGGUGCUGAAGCAACAAAUGCCCUGCUUCCAGGAAAAGCCUCUAAGCAUCAGGUAACAUCAAAUCGUACCCCAAACCGACACAGGUGGUCAGGUAGAGAAUACCAAGGCGCUUGAGAGAACUCGGGUGAAGGAACUAGGCAAAAUGGUGCCGUAACUUCGGGAGAAGGCACGCUGACACGUAGGUGAAGUGAUUUACUCAUGGAGCUG
rnacentral:rRNA from 1 species